ensembl:lncRNA HULC hepatocellular carcinoma up-regulated long non-coding RNA
CGCCUUUCAGCCUUUACCUCUACCCACUGAAAUGGAGUAGGUCGGUGAGCGCCGAUCUGCUGGAGAAUCUCAUUAUCCCAUCGGCGCUCUGCCUGCUCCUGGCCUCCAAGCCUCUGAAGCCCCUCGGGUUUCAGCUGCCGGCUACCCUCGAGCCCGUGGUGCCCACGAGAGAGGCGACUUUACGUCAGCGGCCCUGGGCUGAGAUUUGAGAACGCGACCAAGUGGAGAAUGUUGGAGCCAGAUUUUAAAAUCCUUGUCUUCCUUCUGCGUGCUACUUGAUCUAAAUGAGAUACGGCAAAGUCACAGAACCUGUUUUUAUGUUUUUGCCUGAUUCAUACGGGCUUCUCCGGUGAAGAUGGGCCUGAAGUAACGCUUGGGUUGCUUCUGACGUUAUAACUCAUCCUGUAGCUGCAGCAACCGUGGUCCUUGCAACCUCAUAAAAAUGUUGCCAGCAUUGUUUCGAUAGUGCUGCUUAAUUCUUGGAAGGCCUCUUUGCUUUCUUCCCUGAGGUUCUUCGGACUUCACACAUUCCAGCAGUAGCUCUCUCAGCUCCUGUCCUGCACAGCUUUGAAGUGCUGGUGAUGUCAUUGAACUCUUAAGUGCAAGAUGAAACAAGUCUUUCUGGGGUUCUAAGUAGGACACAGCCCUGGUGAUGGCUUUCUGAGGAUGACACGAUGGAGGCUUCUCCAAUAGCUCUAAAACUGCGGUGUGGAAAACAUUCGGCAGCCUCAAAGAGCGGUCUUGUUGACCCCAACUAUAUCAUUUUUCAUCAAAAUCAUUCUUGUAAAGAAUGACCAGGCAACACUCUUUGAAAAUUGGAGGCCAUUUGCAGCUGCUCUCUGUUGAGGAAAGUGAAUAAUAGGGUGCCCUCAAGGAAUUGCAAAGGGACACGCUGCGGAUGGCUUGAGAUUAGUAUCUGCGCAGGUGCCAUUCUCACAGUGUGUGCUGUGAGAAUGUCGCAGACGUGUGCUGCUACUCUGGCACUCACACUUGUCCAGGCUGUUUCUUAGGUGGUCAUCUUGCCUGUGGUAUCAGAAAAAGGGAUUUCUACUUAGUAUUAAGAAGUUGAAACCAAAGUAGAAAAUAUUCAUCCUUUGCUUUCCCCAAACAAUUCUUCUGCCUAGAAAUGUCAACAACUUAACCACAUGCAAAUACCCAUUUGUGGACAAAUGUGUACAAAAGACAUUUGGGGUUCCCCUCUUUGAGACUAGAUUAAAGCUGACCAUAUAGAUAGGGAAGAAAACUGUUUUUCUCUGUAGCAUCAUAUUGCUGCUUUGUAUAUUUUCUGAUAGAGUAGCAUCAGGUCCUCUGGCUGCUUUAUUGAAAUCAUCUUUGACGUUUCUAACAAGGAAAUUUCCUGUGCAAAACUCUAGUUAGAGAUUUCAGUGACUUGUAUCACCAAGAGGAGGACCAUCAGCAUGCAGUGGAGGUCUAGGCUUCAGACAUGUGAGGCACACUGAGGAGCAGCUUUAUUUGCAAGAGGUAUUAGGAAUCUUCCUAACAAAGUUGACCUUCAGGAUGGGAGAAAUCAAAGCACAGACCAUAGAUCCAAAAAAAAUGGCUUCUGGUCAGAAAAGGUGAUCUGAGAUUAGGGGAAGAUGUGUCAUCAAUAUCAUCCCCUGGUCCAGCCCUGUGAAAUCACACCUGAGUGGUAGAGAAAUAUCUAUGAAAAAAUAGUAAAACAGAAACAAAUGUUUCUGUCUGGCAGACAGGCAGCUGCAUGGCUUUCAGGGCCAGGUAGAGGGGACAUCACAUGUACAUGGUGGCAGCGGGAUGUCCCCAGGUAGCAGAAAGUCGCAGGUGGCUCAUCAGAGACCCUAAAGAACUAGCCCCCUACUUGUAGGUGUCAGUGGCUGUGGUAGGAGUGGCCAUAGAUAGUUUCUGGUUACACAAGAUUGGUGUGGGAACAGCAUGACCACGAGAAAAAUCUGGGUUGACGGCCCCAGGGAGCUGGAGCAGAAUAUUAACAAUAGUAGCUAGCAUUUGAGUGCUGCCCAUGUGCUUGAAAAUGUUCUAGGUGAUUUACCUUUAUUAGCUCCUAUAAUUCUCAAAACGACCUCGAGUUAGGUCUUUCUAUUAUUCCUAUUUUAUAGACAAAGCAGUGGAGCCACAGAGAGGUUAAGUAACUUGCCCAAUGUCACACAGCAAAAAGUGGCAGAGCCACAAUUUUAAUUUGGGUUGAAGAGGAAAAUAGAUAAUGCAUAUUCCUAGGAUCUGAGAGAUGUUUGAGGUGAGGGGGAAUGAGAGGCUCUCCUUUGAAAGAAGCAGCAGGGGGUACUGAAACAGAGUAGAAGAGUGUGAAAGCUGGUGGGGUUGUUGUUGUUGUUGUUUUUAGUCCUAAGUUAGUGGCAUGAAAGCACUGCCCUGGAAGCGAUGGAGCAGCAAGUGCUCUACCCACAUGGAAGUCUUUGGGACCUGCACUUCAAUGAGCGCAGAGAGGAAAAGGAGAGAAGAACCAACACAACUGAAGCACCUACGAGCGUCAGGCACUGGCCCAGCUGCCAUGGACCCCCGAGUUGAAGGUCGUAUAACCUCAGCCUGCCCAAAUGAACCAAGCACACAACCACAGGGGGAACCCAAGAGUUCCAGUGGGAGAGCUGGAAGAGGAGGGACCAAUGUGAGAAGUGGACACCAUAUGGCAGGAUCCAGGAUCCAAUCAGACUGAGCCCUGGGGUCACCCCAUGGAAGGAUCCAGUUGGAUCAUGCCUCCUGGCAUCACCUACUGCAAGAUCCAAUCAGAUCACACCUCCUUACCCUAUGCUUAUAAAACCCCACCCAGCCCCCAGCCCGAAGAUACAGAUUUGAG